rnacentral:rRNA from 1 species
GAUGAACGCUAGCGGCAGGCCUAAUACAUGCAAGUCGAGGGGUAGAGGAGAGCUUGCUUCCCUUGAGACCGGCGCACGGGUGCGUAACGCGUAUGCAACCUACCCUUUUCUGGGGGAUAGCCCGGAGAAAUCCGGAUUAAUACCGCAUAAGACCACACGGCGGCAUCGUCGAGGGGUCAAACAUUUAUGGGAGAAGGAUGGGCAUGCGUGCCAUUAGCUAGUUGGCGGGGUAACGGCCCACCAAGGCUACGAUGGCUAGGGGGUCUGAGAGGAUGGCCCCCCACACUGGUACUGAGACACGGACCAGACUCCUACGGGAGGCAGCAGUAAGGAAUAUUGGUCAAUGGGCGCAAGCCUGAACCAGCCAUGCCGCGUGCAGGAAGACGGCCCUCCGGGUUGUAAACUGCUUUUGUACGGGAAUAAACCUUUCUUCGUGAAGGAAGCUGAAUGUACCGUAAGAAUAAGGAUCGGCUAACUCCGUGCCAGCCGCCGCAGUAAAAC